CGCGUAGGCGGUCUUGUAAGUCAGGCGUGAAAGGCCCGGGCUCAACCUGGGGACUGCGCUUGAUACUGCGAGGCUUGAAUCCGGGAGAGGAUGGCGGAAUUCCCAGUGUAGAGGUGAAAUUCGUAGAUAUUGGGAAGAACACCGGUGGCGAAGGCGGCCAUCUGGACCGGUAUUGACGCUGAGGCGCGAAAGCGUGGGGAGCAAACAGGAUUAGAUACCCUGGUAGUCCACGCCGUAAACGAUGAGUGCUAGACGUUGGGGAGCAUGCUCUUCAGUGUCGACGCUAACGCAUUAAGCACUCCGCCUGGGGAGUACGGCCGCAAGGUUAAA
rnacentral:rRNA from 1 species